ACAUGGACUUAAUGCUCAGGAGCUUGCCAAGAACCCUAGGCUGGAUUACUUCUUUGUCAAGGAUCUAAACCAGGAUCAAAAACUUGAGAUGGCAGAUGGAAGUUUCGACGCCGUGCUAUGCACUGUUAGUGUACAGUACCUUCAGCAACCUGAGAAGGUGAGCUGAUGUUAUUUUGUUUAUCAGAACAUGAAGUUUAUAUAGGAAUCAAUGAAAGGGGUCUGAAGUCUGAACUGACCAAGUUCAUGAUUACUCGUUCUAGGUAUUUGCAGAAGUUUUUCGGGUGCUUAGGCCAGGAGGGGUAUUCAUUGUAAGCUUUAGCAAUAGACUAUUUUAUGAGAAAGCCAUCAGUGCCUGGAGAGAUGGAACUGCAUA
rnacentral:lncRNA from 1 species